UACAGAGGUCCCAAGCGUUGUUCGGAAUCACUGGGCGUAAAGCGCACGUAGGCGGAUAUGUCAGUCAGGGGUGAAAUCCCGGGGCUUAACCUCGGAACUGCCUUUGAUACAGCAUAUCUUGAGUCCGAUAGAGGUGGGUGGAAUUCCUAGUGUAGAGGUGAAAUUCGUAGAUAUUAGGAAGAACACCGGUGGCGAAGGCGGCCCACUGGAUCGGUACUGACGCUGAGGUGCGAAAGCGUGGGGAGCAAACAGG
rnacentral:rRNA from 1 species